AUUGAACGCUGGCGGCAUGCCUUACACAUGCAAGUCGAACGGUAACAGGUCUUCGGAUGCUGACGAGUGGCGAACGGGUGAGUAAUACAUCGGAACGUGCCUAGUAGUGGGGGAUAACUACUCGAAAGAGUGGCUAAUACCGCAUGAGAUCUACGGAUGAAUGCAGGGGAUCGCAAGACCUUGUGCUACUAGAGCGGCCGAUGGCAGAUUAGGUAGUUGGUGAGGUAAAGGCUCACCAAGGCUACGAUCUAUAGCUGGUCUGAGAGGAUGAUCAGCCACACUGGGGCUGGAACACGGCACAGACUCCUACGGGAGGAAGCAGUGGGGAAUAUUGCGCAAUGGGCGAAGGCCUGACGCAGCAACGCCGCGUGAGUGAUGAAGGCCUUCGGGUCGUAAAGCUCUGUCGGAGGGAACGAAUGCUCUCGGGGUUAAUAGCCUCGGGAAGUGACGGUACCUUCAAAGGAAGCACCGGCUAACUCUGUGCCAGCCGCCGCGGUAAGAC
rnacentral:rRNA from 1 species